rnacentral:lncRNA from 1 species
GAUCUUUGAGCCAUGAUAAUGUUACUGGUUGGAUGUCAGGAGCAGGCCAUGUGGAUGAUUAAAAGAUGAAUAUCAUAUACAGCAUGGAUAUGUUGGACAAAAAGAUGAUUCACAUCCCAGACAGAAUGGAGCAGCACAUUUAUUAAAAGCCAGAAGCUAGAAGACGAGGAAAGAAGAGGUGGUUAAAGAAAGAUACAGUAACAGCAGUAAUAUCUAACAGGAAGGCUACAGGGGAAAAUACAGAAAUUCCAUAAAGAACAAACACUGUAACUCAAAACCAAAGCUUUGCUAGUCACUAGUGCCCGCUACAUCCUAACAGAUGCAGCUGGAGAGCCUGGGGUGAGAACAUGAGCAGUCUAUAAUCAGAAAAUCCCUUUGGGAUAAAUUGACAAAAAUAUAAACCACUCCACAAAGGAGAAAUUGUAAAUGUUGUUCUUCCAGAUGGCAUGAAUCCAACAGUGAAGAAAUCAGAAUACGUUGCUUUUGUGAGGGGCAGCUGCUGAUUUUCUCUGAGCUCCGUUUCCAGCCUUCACAUGCUCUGCUAUUCAUCACAGGGUAAAUUCUGACUAUAGGAGGUACUGACAGAAGAUUAGGGAAGAACAGAGGGCUAAAUGUUUAUUGACUUCUUGAAAAAUGCUAUGUGUCUUGCCAGACUUAGCUUACAAGUUUGGUUAAAGAGAGACUGACAUGAGCAUAAAGGAAGGGACAUUGAAAGAGGCAGAGAUGAAGGAAGAAAUUGUAACUUACUCCUUUUAUCCCACCCAUCAAAGGAAAGACAAGUUGACAUUCCCAGGGUGGAUGGAUCCAGGCAGGACAGGAUCAGAAGUUGCAGUCUUAAUUGCACCAACUCACGCAUGUCACCAGCCGAGUAGUAUUGAUUCUGCAACAAACUGAGAAGAAACCUGGCGAUUCACAACAGAGAGCUGAGAAAUCCUAAGUCUGGAUUCCAGCUAAAUGGGAGCAGACUAAAUAGAGCGGCAGUCGGCGAACUACAUGUAGCCCAUGAACAAAAUCCGGUCCAGCACGUGUGUUUUUUUUUACGGCCCACAAAUGAGUCUGUCUUUACAGAUGAAUGUUAAAACUGGGUUGACAAGAGAGAACACUCACUUUGAACCGCAACUAAACAAAAUAUUAUCACCUUUCCCCUCAAAAAAGGUUUUUGUUCUUCUCAUUAGUAAAUUUGUAUUAUGACAAAA